rnacentral:rRNA from 1 species
UACGUAGGGUGCAAGCGUUGUCCGGAAUUAUUGGGCGUAAAGAGCUCGUAGGCGGUCUGUCGCGUCGGCUGUGAAAUCCCGAGGCUCAACCUCGGGUCUGCAGUCGAUACGGGCAAACUGGAGUGUUGCAGGGGAGACUGGAAUUCCUGGUGUAGCGGUGGAAUGCGCAGAUAUCAGGAGGAACACCGAUGGCGAAGGCAGAUCUCUGGGCCAUUACUGACGCUGAGGAGCGAAAGCAUGGGGAGCGAACAGG